rnacentral:rRNA from 1 species
AGAGUUUGAUCCUGGCUCAGGAUGAACGCUGACAGAAUGCUUAACACAUGCAAGUCAACUUGAACUUCGGUUUGGGUGGCGGACGGGUGAGUAACGCGUAAAGAACUUGCCUCACAGUUAGGGACAACAUUUGGAAACGAAUGCUAAUACCUGAUAUUAUGAUUUUAGGGCAUCCUAGGAUUAUGAAAGCUAUAUGCGCUGUGAGAGAGCUUUGCGUCCCAUUAGCUAGUUGGAGAGGUAACGGCUCACCAAGGCGAUGAUGGGUAGCCGGCCUGAGAGGGUGAACGGCCACAAGGGGACUGAGACACGGCCCUUACUCCUACGGGAGGCAGCAGUGGGGAAUAUUGGACAAUGGACCAAGAGUCUGAUCCAGCAAUUCUGUGUGCACGAUGAAGUUUUUCGGAAUGUAAAGUGCUUUCAGUUGGGAAGAAAAAAAUGACGGUACCAACAGAAGAAGUGACGGCUAAAUACGUGCCAGCAGCCGCGGUAAUACGUAUGUCACAAGCGUUAUCCGGAUUUAUUGGGCGUAAAGCGCGUCUAGGUGGUUAUGUAAGUCUGAUGUGAAAAUGCAGGGCUCAACUCUGUAUUGCGUUGGAAACUGUGUAACUAGAGUACUGGAGAGGUAAGCGGAACUACAAGUGUAGAGGUGAAAUUCGUAGAUAUUUGUAGGAAUGCCGAUGGGGAAGCCAGCUUACUGGACAGAUACUGACGCUAAAGCGCGAAAGCGUGGGUAGCAAACAGGAUUAGAUACCCUGGUAGUCCACGCC